rnacentral:rRNA from 1 species
AAUAGAUACCCCGGUAGUCCACGCCGUAAACGAUGAGUGCUAGGUGUUAGGGGGUCCAACCCUUAGUGCCGAAGUUAACACAUUAAGCACUCCGCCUGGGGAAUACGGCCGCAAGGCUGAAACUCAAAGGAAUUGACGGGGGCCCGCACAAGCGGUGGAGCAUGUGGUUUAAUUCGAAGCAACGCGAAGAACCUUACCAGGUCUUGACAUCCCUCUGACCUCUCUAGAGAUAGAGAUUCCCCUUCGGGGGCAGAGGUGACAGGUGGUGCAUGGUUGUCGUCAGCUCGUGUCGUGAGAUGUUGGGUUAAGUCCCGCAACGAGCGCAACCCUUGAGAUUAGUUGCCAGCAUUCAGUUGGGCACUCUAAUCUGACUGCCGCAGACAAUGCGGAGGAAGGUGGGGAUGACGUCAAAUCAUCAUGCCCCUUAUGACCUGGGCUACACACGUGCUACAAUGGAUGGUACAAAGGGUUGCGAAGCCGUGAGGUGGAGCCAAUCCCAUAAAGCCAUCCUCAGUUCGGAUUGUAGG